AAGCCCUGUCCAGGGGGAAUUUUGAUGUAUCACAAAAACCAGCAUCCAGUUGAUGUGACUCUUCUUCCAGGGUCCUGCCCACAAGAAAGAUUGUGACAUCUCACUGGACAAGCACCCACCCAGACUCUGCCAAGAGAGGGGAUUAUUACAUAUUGCAGAGCCCAGCACCUAGGUGGAGUGACUCUCAUCUUUUUCUUCUACCCCGUAUAUAGCCAGCUUGGUGACCUACUAUUUGAGUCUAUACCCAGGCCCAGACCACAGAUGAAAUUGUGCAAUAUGUGGAACAAACACCUAAACAAUAUAUAACACCUUCCUUGGCUCUGUCUACAAAGGGCACUUUUAUAUAUCACUGGGACCAUCAACCAGGUGAUGUUAAUUAUCUUCCUGAAACCUGUCUACAAAGAGAGUUGUGUCGUAUACCUAGGCCCGUCAUGUGAUGUUGUGCCAUAUAACUGAGACCGUAUCAAAAGCCUAAUAACAAGACGUAUGUCUGGAGCCCCGAUAUGCACAGGAUGGUGAUAUAACCCUCUUCUCUGGAAUGGGCCCCACACAAAGGAAGGAUAGUGACAUAUUGCAAGCCCAGGCACACAGGCCCAGAGCACAGUUGAAAUUGUGACAUAUGUACACCAAGCAACCAAGCAAUGUAUAACACCUCAUUUGGCAAUGGAAUCGAGGGCACUUUUACAUAUCACUGAGACCAGCGCCCAGCUGAUGUGAAAUAUUGGCCUGAACCCUGCCUACAAAAGCAUUGUGGCUUUUAUCUAGCUCCAUUACAUAAGUGAUGUGACUUCCUUCUACUGCCUUGGCCCUGCACUUAUGGUGAAUCGUGACACAAAAUUGGGUAGAGCAACCAGGUGA
rnacentral:lncRNA from 1 species